GCUGCAGAUACCAGGCACCACAGCCUGGGAGAAUCCCCAAGUACAGUAAAGUAAGUAAAAUGUGGAUACUUCAGAUUGAGGUGUUAAGUUUACCCUUAAUAACAUAAAAGGGAUGUUGUGCCAAAACUGAGGUGAUUUAAAGUUAGUUUUAUUUUUUGAAAUCAGAAUAUAGACUUCCGCAAGCCUGGAAGUUGUCUUGGACAAGACAUGCACUUGUACGAUCUCCUCUCUGCCCUUCUUUGCAGCCUGUGGUGAGCAGAAAACGAUUGUGGUAGAAAGGCUCAGCUCAAAAAAUUACACUGGGGGAAGAAAUGAUGGAUGGAGUUUGCCCCAGUGCCUACCAGACUUGACUGCUGGUGCCCUGGAUGAGGUUCCCAGCACACACAAAAAGAGUUCAAUUAAAAAAAAAAAGAGUUCAAUAGAUGUGUAUUGAGGAUGGAGAGACUUACUGCCCUGGGUCAGCCAUGGAGUCAGAUCCCACGGUUGGUGGAGCAGUGACUGUGUCACUUGAAAAUAAUGAAUGUGCUUCUGGUUAAUUUUCCUGGUGGCAAGUGAGUUCUGGUCUAGGGAAUAAAGGGAAUCUUGGAGUGGGGGAGAGAAGGACAUCCUUUCUCUCUGGAGCUGGGGGAGAUGGGUCUGGGAGUCACAUGGGAAUGCAUUUGAGGUGCUCCUGGUAGGGGAGCACAGCAGAGUGAGUCAGUGUUGGCAAAUGAAUAUAAGUUGGAAGAGUAAAGGAAUUGGUUUCUUAAAAAGUUUUCCAGUUUGGAUGAGGACCUGUGGGCUCAAGAUUGGUAGUUAGUCUUUUGUUAUUUCUCACAGUGAUAUUUGUUGAAGCAUUAUUUGUAAUAACAACACACACAGACAUAGAUACCAAUAGAGAGAAGAAAAGCUAAAUGAAAUAUAGAAUAUUUAUACUACAGAAUAACACACAUCAGUUAAAAACAAUGAGGUAGAGCUACAUUUAGGUCCUAUGGAGCUGGAUGUUGUGAUCUCUGAGACUCAUGUGACAAAACAAGUCAGAGCACAGUAUGUAUUACUCAUAAACAAAAUACCUUUUUGCAUUUAUAUAUUUUUAACAUAUAAAUGCAUAGAAAAUAUGCUGAAGAAUUUAAUGUAGCCGUUAAUAGCGAUUACCUCCGGGAGGAGUGUGUUUAGAGAAGAAGGGAGGGAACUUCUUUCUUUUACUCAAUCUAGUUGUAUUUAUUGAAAUCUUUUUUUUAUUGAAAUGUUUUAAUUGGCGAUUUAUUCAUAGUACACAUAUAAUUAAAGUAAAAGGGAAAAAGAGAGACAUUACCGAAUUUUGUAGUUUCAUGCUGAUGAGAC
rnacentral:lncRNA from 1 species